CCCUGUCCUGCAGACUCUACGAGCCCUCUCGCGGCAGCCACCAGUGGGCUACGGGGCGAUUCUGCAGCGACUCUUUCCCUGCCAAGGUUGAGCCUGGAUGGCGGCGGCCACUGCGCGGGGCCUCCACGAUUCCACCGGCCCCUUGCUCUCCAGUGUCGAGCCCACGGAGAAGCCCCACCUAGGCCUUUGAGGACGUCUCCGGGUGGCGAGGUGAGGCAGAAAGAAUGGCGGCCACCUGAAGGCCAAGGCUGGGCCUUCCGGGCUUCUGGAGCCUGAGGCGAACAGGGGUCUCAACGGGCCUGGGAGAAGGCGAGCGGGGCCCCGAAUGUUGAGAGGAACGAUCGAUUGCUGGGCCACCGCGGGUCUUCCUUCCACCCAAGAGAAGCAGAGACGCCAUGACCGCAUGCAGCCAAUCUGGAAACCUGGCAAUGACUUAACCUGCCACCGUAGAAGGCCUGUGGACAUAAUAUGAAAAACUCCUCUCAACCUUUCCCCCGACCCUUUUUAGGUUUUUGGCUAAAUCUGGACAUCUAACUGUAGAGAUUGCCAACGGAGGGUGAAGUAGAAGUAGGAGAUCACCUGUAUACCCAGUCGCCAUAAAAAGAAGAUCAUAGACACGUCUUCUACAAGUGACUUUGAAAUGGAAUUGUUUAGGCCGCCUCUAGAAAGACCCAGGAGCGACCCUAGUCUCUGUCUGUUCAGUAGCUUAGAGGACCCAGCAGGAGGAGGAGAUCCGGAGCCAGAUUGGUCAUGUGAAGAAGACUUGUGUGUGUGUGUGUGUGUGUGUGUGUGUCUUUUUAAUUCUAUUGUGUAUGCAUUUUAUUCCUCAUUUCUUACCCCCCCCCACACACACACCAUGUUUGCACGUGUGUGCGUGUGUGUAUUUGAGUGUUUGAAAAUGCCAGGUUUUUGGGGGAACAUCUUUCUAGCUGCUCUGAAGUGCCUGGCAUAUUUUAUAUGUAGUAAAACAUUCUGUAAAUACCUUUUUGUUAGGGUUCAUUUGAAAUAUUGUUUGGAGAGGAAUAGCCAUCCCUCUCCUGAGCUGACCACGUUGUGUUUGUGCCCAGGCUCCCAGAAGGAAGUCCAGAGCUCUAAGCCAUUGUGGUCCGUGAGUGGAAGGGAACCAUUAGCCCAUUUGUUUGGCUUUUCUGUGUACAUAGUAUAUGUAAAGGACAAAGGGGUACUAAGUUACAACAUCUAAUCACUCUAGAUGUGAAAGAGGUUGCCAGUGUAUGACAAAGCAGAGUUAGUAGAACAUUUUUUUUUUUUUACAUUUUGUGUUAAAGAAUUUUUAAUUACUCUUGUUACAUGUGUGCCGUUUACUGGACUGUUGUGUACAUAAAGGACAACAGUCCUUACUUGAAACAUCUGAUCUAUCGAGAUGUUUAGAAGUGCCCAACGUAUGUUAAAGCUAGAGGUAGUAAAAUAACACUUUGUAAAUAUCUUUUGCAGAAACACAUGAACCAUUGUCUUUUGGGAGUGGAGUGAUGAGGUGAGCCCCUCUGGUCAGUACUUGCUCAGGGGUUUGGAGGAGGUGCUGGGGCAGUGACAACGGACUUGUAGCAGUGUGUGUAUAUGGGACCUUUUCAGAUGCCAUUUCGAUAUACUUGCAUUUUGUUUUGCUUUCAUACAAGAUUGUCUUUUGAAGAGUUGUAAAAGAAUGCCAUCCAAGUGACCAGUGCGGUGCCUGUGUCACGGACGGACACAGCGGAGGAGUUGAAGGGGAAGAAAGGUCGGAGACCAGAAUGUUUUCACCAGAAGACACUGUGAGAUCUAAAUAGUUCCAUGUGUGGUUUCAGCACUACUAUGUACAUAGGGGACAAAUGUAUGUCCUCAUCUGAAACAUCUAGUCCUUCUAGGUGUUUAGAAGUGCACAAAGUAUGUUAAAAGUAGACAUAGUAAAAAUGUGUAUUGUAGA